GCCUAUAUCUUUCUUUCUCUUCUUUAGAUCUCAAUUUGGCAGCUUCUUCAUAAUCAGGAACAUCCCAAAACACUUCUAAACUCUGGGUUUUCUUUUGUUCUUGGCUGGCCGAAUUUCUUCUUUAUCUUUCUUAUAUUUCAUUCUGUUUCAGUUUGUAUUCUUUUGAUCUGUUCAUAACUUGUUUCUUAUCGUGGCAGCUAUUCACUCCAAAAUCAGUAAUUCAGGAGUCAGUGUCAAUGUGCAUUAAAGGCAUUACUUAAUUCAAAAAGUUGGAUGUUUCAUUGGAGGAUUCAAUUCGAGCAAUAAUAGAAGAGAAAGACUCGGUAGUGGGUGUUACCUUGGAUGAGUCUUGUUCUCAAACAAAUUUGCUUGAGCUCGUGUGGAAUUCACUUGUUUUCCCCCUUUAUCUAGUGGGUCGGCUGUAUAGCUUCCAACAAGUUCCCUUCGUAUGUCAUGGCUUCCCACAAUAGUCAAAAUGCAAAAAAUCUUUAUUUGGG
rnacentral:lncRNA from 1 species